rnacentral:rRNA from 1 species
UACGUAGGUGGCAAGCGUUUGUCCGGAAUUAUUGGGCGUAAAGCGCGCGCAGGCGGUCCUUUAAGUCUGAUGUGAAAGCCCACGGCUCAACCGUGGAGGGUCAUUGGAAACUGGGGGGACUUGAGUGCAGAAGAGGAAAGCGGAAUUCCACGUGUAGCGGUGAAAUGCGUAGAGAUGUGGAGGAACACCAGUGGCGAAGGCAGCGCGCUGGACCUUUACUGACGCUGAGACGCGAAAGCGUGGGGAGCAAACAGG